GAUGAACGCUGGCGGCGUGCCUAAUACAUGCAAGUCGAGCGAACAGACGAGGAGCUUGCUCCUCUGACGUUAGCGGCGGACGGGUGAGUAACACGUGGAUAACCUACCUAUAAGACUGGGAUAACUUCGGGACACCGGAGCUAAUACCGGAUAAUAUAUUGAACCGCAUGGUUCAAUAGUGAAAGACGGUUUUGCUGUCACUUAUAGAUGGAUCCGCGCCGCUUUAGCUAGUUGGUAAGGUAACGGCUUACCAAGGCAACGAUGCGUAGCCGACCUGAGAGGGUGAUCGGCCACACUGGAACUGAGACACGGUCCAGACUCCUGCGGGAGGCAGCAGUAGGGAAUCUGCCGCAAUGGGCGAGAGCAUGACGGAGCAACGCCGCGUGAGUGAUGAAGGUCUUCGGAUCGUAAAACUCUGUUAUUAGGGAAGAACAAAUGUGUAAGUAACUAUGCACGUCUUGACGGUACCUAAUCAGAAAGCCACGGCUAACUACGUG
rnacentral:rRNA from 1 species